CUGGGUUGGGAGACAGAUGAAGAGAAGAGAAGGGCUGGGCGGCAAUGUGACCCAACCUUCCUUAGCCAGGCACAGAAGUUCAGAACCAGGAAGACACAGUUCCUCAAGGUCUUUCAGUCUAUCUAGAGGGACAAAGUGUCAACCAGCAAUUUCCUUCCAGUAUGGUAUGGCGGAGAGCAAAGCAAGGAUGAAGACUGACAGAGAGACGUUCACAAUAAUAAGCAGAAGAGCUAUUUUGGGACCCACCCCCAAGCACUGUUGCAGAAAUCAAUCACAAAGCAUUUAUUGGUCAGCUACUGUGCACUUAACCCUUUUCAAGGCAUCGUAGAGACUGCAGAAAAGGAACAAAACCAGGGAAGGACCCAGUACAGUCUCUGGUCCCGACUCACAUCACAGGCACUCAUGAAAUGAUUGUUGCCUUCCAUGAAGUCAUAAUAAUGUUGACCAAUAUUCAUUGUCUGCUCGUGUGUGCCAGGGACCCUGUUCUAAGCUGCUGCCAUACAUUAAUUUAUCUCGUUCCAUCCCUUCCACAACAUUAGAGGUAGGUGCUUUGUCCUACCAUUUUUCAGAUAGUGAAACUGAAGUGCAGAGAGGUGAAGCCCAAGGCACACGCCUAGUAAGCGGUCAUAAGAUUGUGCAUUCAAGCACCAAUUACGGAAGACAUGAGACACACACAUUCUACAUCCCUAAACCUCAUGCGAAGAUUGGGUAGAACACUGACUACCUCACACUGCCGCUGUAAGGGUUCACCACAUCCUGCCCGGUGGGCCUGAACACUCAUUCUCCACGUUGUGUAACGUACCCCCUUCUCUCUGAGAGCCCAGCGCAGGGGAGGAGAACGAACACACACAUGCACACCAUCAAAAGUGAACAGUGCCUCCAUUUCCUUACCAGCAAAAUGAGGACAGUGCUGCUGUUUACCUCAUAAAGAAUAGACUGCAUAAAACAAAAGAGCACUUAAAAGAGAGCUUGGCACCAAGUAUGCACUUAGUAAACAUUAGCUAUUCUCAUUAUUAUCCUCACUAUAUCAUCGUCCUCAUCAUUAUUAUUGGUUAUGGAAAUUCACUAUGACUAGACCAGAAAACUGGGCUGGAGUGUUGGAAUUGCUUUAUGAAGGAAUGAAUGGGGAAACGUGGCUAAGAAUCAUGGGGCCACUGGGAAGAGCUGGUAUUUCGAACAAACAGAAGCCAGGGACGCAGAACUCCAGCCUCACUCAUGGGCAGGGGACAUUUGUCUAGGACUGGAAGAACUUUCACUACUUUCCCUUCAAACUGUGGGCAGUGGGAACUGUGGCACGUUCUUCCUGAUGGCCCUGGCUUGGGAACACCAACCCUGGGGAGGGUGACCUUCCUGAGAAGGGAUCAAACCAGCUGGCCUGAGGCUCUUGGAGAAGUAAGGAAUUUACAUCCUGGGAGCCUCACAGAGCUACUCCCUGCUGCAGCUCCUGGACAUAAUGACAUUUCUGUCCCCUCUCCCCACCCUACCUUCCCUCAGCCCCAGCCACAAUGGCAGCUGCUGCUGGUUGGAUGUGAGAUUUGUAUGCUGUUUACAGUGCUGCCUUUUUAUUCUUGAACCUGAAAGCUUUACUGGGUAUUAAAUUCCAGCAUCAGAUUGCUGUUUGUGCUCCCGAGUGAAAGAAAGAGAAAGAGAGCUUUAAUGCUUUCCAAAAAGUAGGGCCUGAAUCAUUUAUGAGGGACA